rnacentral:lncRNA from 10 species
CAGCAAGGGGCCUGUUGCAAACCAGGAACCAAUAAGUAGUUGUUGAAUUGAAUUGAAUUGAGGAACCCAUGGAUUUAGGAACAUAAAAGAGUGCACAAAAGCAAAGUUACUAACUCAUUUCUUUAUUGCAUGAUGUUUUCCAGAUCUCAGUUUUCUUCUGUGAAAUGAAGGCAUUAAAUCUAUUGAUCCCUAGAAGGGCAAUUGUGAACCUGACAGUAGUGAACUAAUUAACAUCUCUGAACUCUAUAUUCUCAGAGUGCAGGUUUUAUGCCUUGAAUUGAGGUGAAAUCCAAUCUGGAAGCCUCAUGUUCAUUAAAAAAGCCUUCAGCAUUCCUUGGAAGUGUCAGAUGUUGGCCUGACCAAAUUUCAGCAGGGAUAAUUGCAUUCUGACAACUUUGAGUUCCCCUGAACUCUUCAAUUGAAUAAGAGCCCAGGAGGUAUUGCAUGAAAGAGCACAGAAGGAAAUGCUAGAAAUAAGAAUGACCUUAUUCCAUUCUCAUACACUGCUAAGGUGAUCAAUUCAAGGAUGGGCAUGGGAUCCCACGAAAUGGAACCAUGCCAUUCUCUUCGAGACUGUUGAAAGAGUGGUAUGCUCUCUCUCUCGCUCUCUCCCUGGAUUUUUGAGGGGAAAGUAUGAGUUUAUCAGCCAGAAUUGUGAGAAUAUCAACCUAAAGCUUUUUGUUACCCCUCUCACCACCACAAGAGGAGAGCUUGCCUAUAAAUGAAGUUAACCUGGAGGAAGAUGGAGCUGAGAGAUAAACUGAGACAGGGAUAGAGCCAUGCCAUAUGCUGGCAUUAUCACUGGACCUUUUUUGGAAUGUGAUGUGUGUGUGCAGGAGAGGGCAAUGGUUUUUAAAAAUAUACUAUGAAAUAAUCUGACAAAGGGCUAAUAUCCAGACUCUACAAAGAACUUAAACAAAUUUUGAAGAAAAAAACAAACAACCCCAUCAAA